CAGUUAGCUUGUGCUAGCGUGUGGAAGCUUGUACAAGCAGUAAACGUACACAUUACAUUCUGCAGUGGAUGUGAGCUUCUGCGGGCUAUAAGCCCAGGAGGAGGAGCCCGUAUUAUAUUGUGGCUUUAGUGAUUUCAUAGAUUUCAACAUUUUGAAAUCCCAAUCAAUUGAACUUAUUUGAAAUGAAUUCAUCAUGUGAAAUGUGUUCAAUAUACAAUUCACAUUUACUUUUACAAGAAUAAAAAUAAGGAUCAACAAUUUAUUUCCAAUGCUGUGUAUUUCAGUGUGUGUGGCCUAUUUCAAACCUGCUUUGUGUGUUUUCUUCAUUAGACAAGAUUGUGUGUGACCUCAUCAACCUGCGCAGGAUUAAGCAACUAAUCUUUGGAAUGAUUCUGCAGGUCUAUUCAUAGCAGAGCCUCUCUCCCAGCUCUGUUUAGUAAAUCAUUUCCCCGUUGCCUCUCCACUGAGGGAGAGAACUGUCAUGACCCGACACCUCCUGCUCCCCUGGACCAAGCUCGGGCACCUGGGAGCUCAGCUGUCGCAGGAUGUGGGAAACCGCAGGACUCCCUCAGGAACCCCCAGACACACACAGUCAGCAGGUGUGUAGACGUCAGGAGGGCUGUGGUGUUGAUAGUAGUCAGAGUGUUUGUGCUGCUGCUCCUCAGAUCAAGCAGGGAAUUUAAUCUCUCCCCACAUGGAGUCUCACUGGUUGACGUGUUUCGGUUACAAAUUGUUGUGGUACAGGAUGCAUUGCUUCUGUAACAAGAAGGCACCUUUUUUUCAGUUUUUCUGUCAAUUAUUUUUUUAACAUGGAGGAAUCAUUGAGGCAAUUAAAAUGGGGGGAAGAAAAUGAACCCAACAAAUUUUUUAUCAGAAACUGGAAGCAACAAAGUUUAAUGUUUGAAAUGAUUAACUUAUAAUCAAAUAUAAAUUAUUUGUCUCCAACUGACUUAAAACUGUUAUGUAACUUUAAAUACAAUAUGAUUUAUAUGUAUUAAGUUAACGUUGUUUUUUUCAAAAUUGGAAGAAAAAAAACAUUCUAAUUAAGUUGCUUCAUAAGAGAUAAUUAAAUAAUAAACAAAGAUACUACAAAAAAUAAAGUUUAAUUUCAUAUGUUUGCACUGUUUUUUAAUCGUGUUGGAUAAAACUAAAGCUUUGUUUGGGUGAUUUCAGAGUUUGCUUUUGAAGGGAAAUGUUGUUUGUAUUGAAUCCAGCGUCUUUACAAAGAUGAGACAAGUUUCCAUUCUAUCUCUUUUAUUCCAGAAUAAAAAGAAACUUAAA